UGGAGUUCAGUGACACGAUCUCGGCUCACUGCAACCUCCGCCCCCCGGGUUCAAGCCAUUCUCCUGCCUCAGCCUUCCGAGUAGCUGGGAUUACAGGCGCCCACCACCGUGCCCGGCUAAUUUUUGUAUUUUUAGUAGAGAUGGGGUUUCACCAUCUUGGCCAGGCUGGUCUUGAACUCCUGACCUCAUGAUCCACCCACUUCAGCCUCCCAAAGUGCUGGGAUUACAGGCUUGAGCCACCACAUCUGGUCAGUCCCCUGACUUUCACAGCCACAUUUGUAACUGGAAAAUUAGCACAGUCAUUGUUAUCUUUUGCUUGUAUCCCAGGGGUUUUUCAGGGACGAAGUGGAAAGGAAGGUGCAAUACAAUCACUUGUGGAUUCAGGAUCUGCAUACCUGACCGGCAGACCUGCUUGCUGGCUUGGAACCUCCUGAAGUUCAUGACUGUCUAAUGAAUUCUGAAUCAGCCAUCCUCUGCAAUUUCCUUGCUAUGUCGGAGUCAGCGAGAUUCUAUUACCUGCUCUGGGCCUUAGGUUUCAUGCCUGCAAAAUGGGCCGAGUGAAAUAGAUCUGUGUUUGCCUAACUGGAGUUGUUCCUGUUCUAUCUUUAUGAUUUUUGCCAUAUCGUCUAUAUUAUUUAGCAUUUUUAUAUCUGUACCAUCUAUAUUAUUUACUUAACAUUUUUCUUGCAUCGGUUCACUUAUUUUUAGCUAUAUAAAUAUUAUUUCAAAAGGAAACCUUAUGUCAAUACAUAAGCAGAAAACCUAUACCUCUUGCCAUAAAUGGGAG
rnacentral:lncRNA from 10 species